GAAAUGUAAAGUCAUUAUAAAGCUGCUAACUUAAAUAAUAAGCGGUUAAAUUCCGUUAACAUUUCU
rnacentral:tRNA from 1 species